rnacentral:rRNA from 1 species
AACGAACGCUGGCGGCGCGCCUAACACAUGCAAGUCGAACGAGAAUCCGGGGCAACCCGGUAGUAAAGUGGCAAACGGGUGAGGAAUGCAUGGGUAACCUGCCCUUGAGAAGGGAAUAACCCGCCGAAAGGUGAGCUAAUACCCUAUACGCUCCUCUUUCCUCGGAAAGGGAAGGAAAGCUAAGUCGAGGAUUUAGCACUCAAGGAGGGGCUCAUGUCCUAUCAGCUUGUUGGUGGGGUAAUGGCCUACCAAGGCAACGACGGGUAGCUGGUCUGAGAGGAUGAUCAGCCACACUGGCACUGAGAUACGGGCCAGACUCCUACGGGAGGCAGCAGUGAGGAAUAUUGCGCAAUGGGCGAAAGCCUGACGCAGCGACGCCGCGUGGGGGAUGAAGGUUUUCGGAUUGUAAACCCCUUUCAUGAGGAAAGA